rnacentral:rRNA from 1 species
GGCAGAGGGGGCAAGCGUUGCUCGGAAUCACUGGGCGUAAAGGGCGCGUAGGCGGGAUGGCAAGUCGGUCGUGAAAUCCCUGGGCUCAACUCAGGGGGGUCGGCCGAUACUGCCGUUCUUGAGGGAUGCAGAGGAGACUGGAAUUCCCGGUGUAGCGGUGAAAUGUGUAGAGAUCGGGAGGAACACCGGUGGCGAAGGCGGGUCUCUGGGCAUUCCCUGACGCUGAGGCGCGAAAGCGUGGGGAGCAAACGGG